GUCCUAGCCGUAAACGGUGCUUGCUUGCUGUAAGAGGAAUCGACCCCUCUUGUGGCGGAGCUAACGCGUUAAGCAAGCCGCCUGGGAAGUACGGUCGCAAGAUUAAAACUCAAAGAAAUUGACGGGGGCCUGCACAAGCGGUGGAGUAUGUGGCUUAAUUCGAUGCAACGCGAAGAACCUUACCUGGCCUUGACAUGCAUCUAGUAGAAGGGUGAAAGCCUGACGAGGUAGCAAUACCAGGAUGCACAGGUGCUGCAUGGCUGUCGU
rnacentral:rRNA from 1 species